GUGGCGAACGGGUGAGUAACACGUGAGCAACCUGCCCCUGACUCUGGGAUAAGCGCUGGAAACGGCGUCUAAUACUGGAUAUGUGACGUGACCGCAUGGUCUGCGUCUGGAAAGAAUUUCGGUUGGGGAUGGGCUCGCGGCCUAUCAGCUUGUUGGUGAGGUAAUGGCUCACCAAGGCGUCGACGGGUAGCCGGCCUGAGAGGGUGACCGGCCACACUGGGACUGAGACACGGCCCAGACUCCUACGGGAGGCAGCAGUGGGGAAUAUUGCACAAUGGGCGCAAGCCUGAUGCAGCAACGCCGCGUGAGGGACGACGGCCUUCGGGUUGUAAACCUCUUUUAGCAGGGAAGAAGCGAAAGUGACGGUACCUGCAGAAAAAGCGCCGGCUAACUACGUGCCAGCAGCCGCGGUAAUACGUAGGGCGCAAGCGUUAUCCGGAAUUAUUGGGCGUAAAGAGCUCGUAGGCGGUUUGUCGCGUCUGCUGUGAAAUCCGGAGGCUCAACCUCCGGCCUGCAGUGGGUACGGGCAGACUAGAGUGCGGUAGGGGAGAUUGGAAUUCCUGGUGUAGCGGUGGAAUGCGCAGAUAUCAGGAGGAACACCGAUGGCGAAGGCAGAUCUCUGGGCCGUAACUGACGCUGAGGAGCGAAAGGGUGGGGAGCAAACAGGCUUAGAUACCCUGGUAGUCCACCCCGUAAACGUUGGGAACUAGUUGUGGGG
rnacentral:rRNA from 1 species